CCUGAUGCAGCCAUGCCGCGUGUGUGAAGAAGGCCUUCGGGUUGUAAAGCACUCAGUUGUGAGGAAAGGUGUAGUUAAUACCUGCAACUGUGACGUUAGCAACAGAAGAAGCACCGGCUAACUCCGUGCCAGCAGCCGCGGUAAUACGGAGGGUGCGAGCGUUAAUCGGAAUUACUGGGCGUAAAGCGUGCGUAGGCGGUUACAUAAGUCAGAUGUGAAAGCCCGGGGCUCAACCUCGGAACUGCAUUUGAAACUGUGUGACUAGAGUAUUGUAGAGGGUGGUGGAAUUUCCAGUGUAGCGGUGAAAUGCGUAGAGAUUGGAAGGAACAUCAGUGGCGAAGGCGGCCACCUGGACAAAUACUGACGCUGAGGCACGAAAGCGUGGGGAGCAAACAGGAUUAGAUACCCUGGUAGUCCACGCCGUAAACGAUGUCAACUAGUUUCUGUGCACUUGAUG
rnacentral:rRNA from 1 species